rnacentral:rRNA from 1 species
AUACGUAGGGGGCGAGCGUUGUCCGGAAUGAUUGGGCGUAAAGGGCGCGUAGGCGGCGCGGUAAGUCUGGAGUGAAAGUCCUGCUUUCAAGGUGGGAAUUGCUUUGGAUACUGCCGCGCUUGAGUGCAGGAGAGGUUAUCGGAAUUCCCGGUGUAGCGGUGAAAUGCGUAGAGAUCGGGAGGAACACCAGUGGCGAAGGCGGGUAACUGGACUGCAACUGACGCUGAGGCGCGAAAGUGUGGGGAGCAAACAGGAUUAGAUACCCUGGUAGUCCACACUGUAAACGAUGAAUGUUAGGUGUAAGAGGUAUCGACCCCUUUUGUGCCGGAGUCAACACAAUAAGCAUUCCGCCUGGGGAGUACGGCCGCAAGGUUGAAACUCAAAUGAAUUGACGGGG